UUGAACGCUGGCGGCAGGCCUAACACAUGCAAGUCGAACGGUAACAGGAAGCAGCUUGCUGCUUUGCUGACGAGUGGCGGACGGGUGAGUAAUGUCUGGGAAACUGCCUGAUGGAGGGGGAUAACUACUGGAAACGGUAGCUAAUACCGCAUAACGUCGCAAGACCCAAGAGGGGGACCUUAGGGCCUCUUGCCAUCGGAUGUGCCCAGAUGGGAUUAGCUAGUAGGUGGGGUAACGGCUCACCUAGGCGACGAUCCCUAGCUGGUCUGAGAGGAUGACCAGCCACACUGGAACUGAGACACGGUCCAGACUCCUACGGGAGGCAGCAGUGGGGAAUAUUGCACAAUGGGCGCAAGCCUGAUGCAGCCAUGCCGCGUGUAUGAAGAAGGCCUUCGGGUUGUAAAGUACUUUCAGCGGGGAGGAAGGGAGUAAAGUUAAUACCUUUGCUCAUUGACGUUACCCGCAGAAGAAGCACCGGCUAACUCCGUG
rnacentral:rRNA from 1 species